rnacentral:rRNA from 1 species
CACGUAGGAUCCGAGCGUUAUCCGGAUUUACUGGGCGUAAAGCGCGUGUAGGUGGUCUGUUAAGUUGGAUGUUAAAUCUCUCGGCUUAACUGGGAGAUGUCGUUCAAAACUGGCAGACUGGAGGACGGUAGAGGAAGGUGGAAUUCCGGGUGUAGUGGUGAAAUGCGUAGAUAUCCGGAGGAACAUCAGUGGCGAAGGCGGCCUUCUGGACCGCUCCUGACACUCCAACGCGAAAGCGUGGGGAGCAAACAGG